rnacentral:tRNA from 1 species
GCAUGAAGCUGAAUGAAUAUGGUGAUGUUGUUUUAGAUCUUCCCCAUUAAUCGGCUACGAACCGGGCGGUCGGUGGUUCGAAUCCACCCGAGUGCACCA